GACGAACGCUGGCGGCGUGCCUAAUACAUGCAAGUCGAGCGGAACUGGGGGAGCUUGCUCCUUCCAGUUUAGCGGCGGACGGGUGAGUAACACGUGGGCAACCUGCCCUGCAGAUCGGGAUAACUCCGGGAAACCGGUGCUAAUACCGAAUAGUUUGGCGCCUCUCCUGAGGCGCUACGGAAAGACGGUUUCGGCUGUCACUGCAGGAUGGGCCCGCGGCGCAUUAGCUAGUUGGUGGGGUAACGGCCCACCAAGGCGACGAUGCGUAGCCGACCUGAGAGGGUGACCGGCCACACUGGGACUGAGACACGGCCCAGACUCCUACGGGAGGCAGCAGUAGGGAAUCUUCCGCAAUGGACGCAAGUCUGACGGAGCAACGCCGCGUGAGUGACGAAGGUUUUCGGAUCGUAAAACUCUGUUGUGAGGGAAGAACACGUACCAACUAACUAUUGGUACCUUGACGGUACCUCACCAGAAAGCCACGGCUAACUACGUGCCAGCAGCCGCGGUAA
rnacentral:rRNA from 1 species